GUCUGGGUGGCUCAGUUGGUUAAGCGUCUGAUUUUAGCUCAGAUCAUGAUCUCAUGGUUCGUGAGUUCGAGCCCCACAUCAGCCU
rnacentral:tRNA from 1 species